AGGACGAACGCUGGCGGCGUGCUUAACACAUGCAAGUCGAGCGGUAAGGCCUUUCGGGGUACACGAGCGGCGAACGGGUGAGUAACACGUGGGUGAUCUGCCCUGCACUUCGGGAUAAGCCUGGGAAACUGGGUCUAAUACCGGAUAUGACCUCCUAUCGCAUGGUGGGUGGUGGAAAGAUUUUAUCGGUGCAGGAUGGGCCCGCGGCCUAUCAGCUUGUUGGUGGGGUAAUGGCCUACCAAGGCGACGACGGGUAGCCGACCUGAGAGGGUGACCGGCCACACUGGGACUGAGACACGGCCCAGACUCCUACGGGAGGCAGCAGUGGGGAAUAUUGCACAAUGGGCGAAAGCCUGAUGCAGCGACGCCGCGUGAGGAUGACGGCCUUGGGUUGUAAACCGUCUUUCAGCAGGACGAAGCGCAAGACGACGGUACCUGCAGAAGAAGCGACCGGCUAACUACGUGCCAGCAGCGC
rnacentral:rRNA from 1 species